rnacentral:hammerhead_ribozyme from 1 species
CUCUAGCUGACGAGUCCCGAAAAGGACGAAAUGCGCAUCCUGGAU